AGAGUUUGAUCCUGGCUCAGGAUGAACGCUAGCUACAGGCUUAACACAUGCAAGUCGAGGGGAAACGACAUCGAAAGCUUGCUUUUGAUGGGCGUCGACCGGCGCACGGGUGAGUAACGCGUAUCCAACCUGCCCACCACUUGGGGAUAACCUUGCGAAAGCAAGACUAAUACCCAAUGAUAUCUCUAGAAGACAUCUGAAAGAGAUUAAAGAUUUAUCGGUGAUGGAUGGGGAUGCGUCUGAUUAGCUUGUUGGCGGGGUAACGGCCACCGAAGGCGACGAUCAGGUAGGGGUUCUGAGAGGAACGGUCCCCCANAUUGGAACUGAGACACGGUCCAAACUCCUACGGGAGCA
rnacentral:rRNA from 1 species